UUUUCAGGUACAGAAAUGGCACACACAGAGAGAGAGAUAAGUAUAUGGGCUGUGACAUAAUAUGAUUAUAUUUCUAAGCGGUAUCCCGAAGCAGAUGGAAGGAUGCAGAGAAAAGUACUCAUCAUGCUUGGACUGUGACAGUGAAGAAGUGGGCAUAAAUAACACCAUAACAAAUUUGAUGAAAUCCAGGAUACGAUGACAGUAUAUGUACACCAGUGCCAUGCCACAAAAAAGAAGCCCAAGCAUGGUCAAUGGAUACAGCAUUUCAUUGCGUCAUCUAAAAACUCCAAUUUUCAAAGAUGAAGAGAGAAAAAGAGAAUAUGUCAAACGAGUGAUAAAACAAGUGAAAAGCUAAAUUACGUUCAUUAAAAUAAAUAAAGCAGAAG